rfam:Triticum urartu cultivar G1812 contig631324, whole genome shotgun sequence.
CUACAACUCCCUACGGUCCAUAUUACUUGUCGCUCAUCCGGAUGUAUCUAGAAUUGAAAUACGUCUAGAUACAUCCGUUUGAGCGACAAGUAUUAUGGAUCGGAGGGAGUACAAU